UGUUUCAGAGAAUUAGGGCUGGAGGGACAGCAAAAACAGAGUCGUCGUCGCUCGAUUGGCGUGUGAUUUGCGGGGAAUUUGGGUCCGAACCCCGUUUCUGGGUGUUGGGUGAUCUCUGUUUCCUCACAAUCGCAUCGCCUUCGCGCCCUCAGUCGCAACGUCAUUUUUACCCAGCGCGCCCCAUUUUUGUCACUGCGAAAGCCAUCUUCAUCGCUGAUUUGAGUGCCGCAUCGUCUCAGUUCGUCUCCGUCUCGUCUUUUUGGUGGAUCGAUCAGCGUCCUCGCGAGACAUUUUCCCUGCCCUGGAGAUCCUCUUCAAUCUGAGGGAGUAGGGCGUUGGUUUAGGGACAGGUAAGAGACGAGAAGCAAAUCGGCCCAGAGACGCAGAGGGGCGGGAGCCAUGGGGCAACAAGGGAGCAAGGAUUCGGAUGCUCCAUCAGUGGUUGGCUCGUCUGUCAGGGCAGUGCGAAAUGCAACAGGAGAUGCGAAAGGGGUUGUAAAAGAAACUGCAGGUGCCUGAAUCGUUGGUCUCUUAACCUCUUUUCCGGACUUUUUUUUGCACAUGCACUUUUAGCUGCGAAAUUGGUUCUUCUAUAGUACUACACUGACAUGGCAGAAAGCCGUCACAUGGGACCGGGAACAGAGAAGGAGGGAAUGAGAGCAGUGGGAUCGGAAUCUAGACAGGCUGUGUGGACGCAGAAGGAGAGAUGGGGCAGGGUUGAGGAGGGUGACACUCUCUGGAGCUUGAGCGAGAAGUAUCUCGGAGAUGCAAGCCAGUGGGAGACGCUCCAAUCUGCCUGCAGACGAGAGCUUGGGACCGAUCCCUUGUUGCUCUUGCCUGGUAGCCAUGUCACAGAAGCUUGCGUAGCCCGAGCACGAGCCAUAGCAGAGAAACGAUAACUCUUUGAUUUGUUUUGCAAUUUUCUUCAGGACUCGGUCCAUUCUUGAACAUCUUGCAAUAUUUCAGUGUUGAUAUGCCACGAGAUUUUGUUGUAGACGUCCUCUCAGAGACCAAUUUUGAGCAGUGGGAGCUUUGAACCUUUUUGUGAAGCAUUCAAUCAACACUCUGCCAUGGUGCUUUGGAGCUCACAAGAAACACUUGGUGUCGGUACUAAACAUUUGGCCCAUUUAUUGUGAAGUCUUGUUCAGCAUGCAGGAAUCAGAUAUGGAAGCUCUAAUUGUGGUUACAAUGCCUUCGUGCUCAUAGUGCACGGAAGUUGGCGUAACCUCUGAAUCCUUUAUUAGAUUUGGGGGGUAUUCAACUCCUGAAACUCUUGCCGUGUGUUUUUUACAAGGUCACGAGUAUUCACGACGCCCCCAUUCUCAUCAAAGUAUAAGUUUUUUAUAUGUUUUCACUGUAGCACAUCAGGGGAUGUAGCUCAGAUGGUAGAGCGGUAGGAGAGCAGAGCAGCGAUACGGCGGUAUCCGUGAAAUCCGGAGCCGCACCCUAGUGAUCCACAAAUAUCGGAAUGUUUGAUUGUUGAGAGAUUUCAUAGCACGAUCGCUUGCUACAGUCGGAGAAACUUCGCAACAAUUUGCAGAUAGAUUGGACACACGAAUUGUAGACCCGAAUUUCUUGGCACACCCAACUAUUGUGCGAGUAAGGUAACCGGCAGAGUUAGAGCGUUCUAGGAUUUCCAACUCCUACAACAGCAAAACUCAGCGUAGCUAGACACUAGUGCAUUGAGAGACGUGGAGAAACAGGGUGACAGCUGACAACACCGAAAGACACGAGAAAGAGCCACCUGCGACCACAACAACAUUGACCUCUCAGGUAAGUAAUCCUUCCCUUGACACUCUAUCUGAAAUGCAAGAGAGUUUGGAAUGUUUCGCCAGUCUCGAUUCAAAGGAAAGAAGGUCCAAAGGGAGCUUUGAGCUCUUACCCUUCCAACCUGGAGACACGGGGGCAUCCAGACCGACUUCACUUGAACAAAAGACGGAUAAUACAACGCCUCCAAUACUCCCACAUCUGAAGGACUUGACGAGGGAUACACACAAUAUUAUGAGUAUUAAAGGGGACGCAAGACCACAAGGGAUCACCAGCACGACCCCAUGCAGGGCACCGACAUCGAAACCAUGGACCAAACACAAGAUUCUGGGCAUCCAACAACGGACCAAAUCGACCACACAAACCAGUGCGCAACGUUGAGACGGAAGGUCGAGGAGCUUGUUCUUCACACCCUGGAGAAGCUCAGAGAAUACAUUCAGUCAAAGUGGGACAUUGGGGAAGACUUUAUACAAUCAAACCCACGACUAGGAUUAAUACAUCAAUGCUCCGUAGACAGUGAACUAGAGCGGCUAGUGUCAUAGAUGAAAUCGGACGUCGAAACUCUCCUUCAGGCGUACGGAAUCGAUUUUGUAACGAUAGGAACCACAGCAACCCCGGAACCACCAAAGGCAACCACUAUGUUGGGAGGCGGUUACUGAGAUUCAAUUCACCAGUGAACAGGGCAGAACACAAACUCUUAAUAGACAAUACAAGUUCAACAACCAAGAUAUUAUGUUUACAUUACGGUGCGCUGAUUUUGAUCCGGAUACCAACUAUGAUCCAAAUCCAACAAAUUUUUCAA